AGUGAACGCUGGCGGUAGGCCUAACACAUGCAAGUCGAACGGCAGCACAGUAAGAGCUUGCUCUUACGGGUGGCGAGUGGCGGACGGGUGAGGAAUACAUCGGAAUCUACUUUUUCGUGGGGGAUAACGUAGGGAAACGUACGCUAAUACCGCAUACGACCUACGGGUGAAAGCAGGGGAUCUUCGGACCUUGCGCGAUUGAAUGAGCCGAUGUCGGAUUAGCUAGUGGGCGGGGUAAAGGCCCACCCAGGCGACGAUCCGUAGCUGGUCUGAGAGGAUGGUCAGCCACACUGGAACUGGGACACGGUCCAUACUCCUACGGUAGGCCGCAGUGGGGAAUAUUGGACAAUGGGCGCAAGCCUGAUCCAGCCAUACCGCGUGGGUGAAGAAGGCCUUCGGGUUGUAAAGCCCUUUUGUUGGGAAAGAAAAGCAGCAGGUUAAUACCCCGCUGUUCUGACGGUACCCAAAGAAUAAGCACCGGCUAACUUCGUG
rnacentral:rRNA from 1 species